AUUGCUCAUUACUACUACUAGGGCGGUACGACUGGGGUGCAUCCCCCCUGCUGUUCUGCUAUGGCACCCCGGCUCAGAGAAACCGGAACGCCCCAUAUUCCAGCCCAGAGAUUGAGAAGAAGUCUUCUGGAAUAUGGCACUGCUUAGCAUAGAACAAAUCAGCUCUUUAUUGCAAGCUAUAUUGGGUCCAAGGGGAUUACAUCGGCACAGCGACACUACGCCUGCCACGCUUGCUCUAUGCAAGCAGCAGAACAACUCGACGCAGCGGAAUGACUAUUGGCAGCGGAACAACGACAGCGGUGAUGAACUCCACUCCGUAGGGACUCUGGCUGGAACGCUUAUCCUAGCGCGCAAACAAGGGAUCCAUGGCAAAUGAGCAAUCAUAUCUGGCAUGACCUGCAAACUGGCAUGACACGCCAGGUCAGUACAUGAAAUGUACUUGGAAGCUCACAGCAACCAAGGCAAUCAAAACAAACAAUAGCAUGGAAAUUACAAGUUAACCAGGUUUAACAUGAUACUAUCAGAUCAAUCAUAGCAGGAACAAGAUGAUACAGCUAGAAGAAUAUGAGCAUGGCAUAAACAUAUGAACAUGAUGAGACUAGCAUGCAACAUGAUGACGCUAUCAUGCUCCAACUUACUCUGCUCGUGUUACAUCGUAAUCAUCACCUGCACAAACUUACCAUCACGGACAUCACACGAUCAUCUCAGGAUCAAAUCAAGCUUGGUAUUAACAAUACCGUAGUAAUCAUUCAUGACCACAAGGAGCUUGACCUUUACUCUUGACUCUCGCAUAACACCACAAAUAUCCAACAAGUUGGCAUUCACGAUACUACAGUGAUCCUCUCAUGAUCACAUAAAUAUCAACCAACUUCUUUCAUCAUUGAACCGGGGUUGUUAUUAAGCAAAUUAUUAUUAUUCCUGUUGACCCACAGUGUGACCAACUACGAACUGGGCCCAUAUUCGCGGGCGCGGCUAUCGAUAGAUUAAAAACACACACUCUGGAGAGGUUAGCACACUGUACCCACACCAUGGAACCCUGGCCUUGCACUCCCAAUAGGGUGGACCAAAGCGUUCCGACAAAACCGUCCUACUGCCAUGACACUCUCCCGGCCACUCCGACCAACUCCCCUUUGGACUAAGUCCAGGGUGGCUCCGUUCCUACCAAAGGCACCAACGGCCACCGUCAUGGCAAAACGGUCCCAAAUGGGGACAAGGAUCCAUACUCAACAACGGGCACACAAGGCUUAUGCCGUCCUACCUAGUCAGGGUAGCGCUCGCGCAUAACCUUCCCUCGCGGGAGGCACCGGUGAGAGGCAUGACAAUAGACCCAGUUAGGACCCCCCCCCCAUAGGGUAAGCGUGGUUGCACUGGUCAAAUCGAUAUGGUGGCACCAUGACUCAGCCAACAGUUGUUCAAGUUCAAUUAAUCCGGUUAUAUUAGAAUGCAAUAUGCUGAGCCAUGACAAAAAUAAUAGGAUGCACUACAAUCCGUGAACAUGAUAUCAAAAUAAGCAUGGAAGUGCAACAUAAUCAACGAUCAUAAUAACAACAUUUAAUCAUUUAUCCAGAUGAGCAUGGCAUACUGACGAGCAUGAAUAACAUAACUAGAACACUACUCAUAGCAUAACAUGACCACUAGCAUCAACAAUAAAUACCAUGUAAUAACAUAACGAUAUUCUAUCAUGCAAGCAUUUAUCCAACUGGGUGCAAAGGAACAUGCAUAACAACGGUACUCGGAACAGACGAUAGUCAUGCACCGAAGACCAUCACCAACAUGUACUAUUACCAAACAUUGCAAUAUUAAAGUAAUACUAGCAUUAAGAACAUAAUAACAGAGUGCAAGAAAACAUGACGGUAAACACCGAUCCAUAAGCAUAACCAAAAUAACGACAGUAGUAGCAAAACAAUCAAACAGUUAUUAAAGAUUCAAGUUAGAAACCAAUGCUUCUGCAUGUCUAUCAUGCAAAUGGUGGUUGUGGCUUGCCUGGGUAUGAAGAAGGCUUCGGGGAGAAGUGCGGAACGACCGCGAAAAGAUUCGCCGGAAAAGAUUCGCUCUCGGAAGGGGCUCAUUAGGGGCAAGGGUGAAAUGGUCAUUUCCAGUAUGUCAAACCAUAGUGAAAAUGACACCAAAAGUUCGAGCUCGACGAGACGAAGAAGUGGGCUUUGGAUUCACCUCAAUCGGAGUUACAGUUGCGGAGAUAUGAGGUGUUGAACACCAGGGACCAAUCUGUGAAUAAAAAUUCAACAAACAAGUCCCUAGAGGCAAAAAUUGAAAGCGCCUUUCGCUGAGUACAUUUUCUGAAAAGGGAAAACGUAUUUUGCGUGAAGUUAGAGGAAAUACGCUUCCCAGAAGGGAAAGCGUGUUCCGGUUUAUAAGAAGGGACAAUGCACUUUCGAGAAACGGAAACGUAUUCCUGAGAAUAUGCUUCCACUUACAUGACUAGGCAGAGGCGGGGCCGGCUCGCGUGACACUGACGUGCGGGUCCCACGGGCAGUGGGGCGCGUCACUUAUCCACGUCGACCGCCGGGUGAACGCCUGUGUCACUGCCAGGGGGCCCACCGGACCUCUAUCUCUCCUGCUCGCUCCUUCCCUUCUUCCUCCCGAUGUCGGCUCCAGAACAGAGGAGGCCGCGCGCGCCGGCGAGGAGCCCGGGUGGCAUAGGCCACCGUUGGAGGCGCUUCGGCCACCGGGGUGCUCGGGGAGGAGCAGCGCGUCCAGCCAGGCGGGGUACGUAGGGCGGGGAAAUCAGGGGAGCGCGUGGUCUAGGUCGGGGCGGACGGCGGCAAUGGCGGGGCUCGGACGACCUAAGAAGGACGGAGGAGCCGCGGAGAGGAGGAGCUGGGUGUCGGGGAGGCUCUAGGGGUGUGGUGGAGGGCUCUGGUGGUGUCCAGGAGGAGAGGGAGGGCUCGGCUCGGGCUAAUUUAGCCGGGGCCGUGCGGUGGCCAUGGCGGCCUACUGCCGCGAGGAGGGGCUCCGGGGCUCGGGAGACUAGCUAGGGAGGGGUCUGGGAGUGAGGUGCGGUCGCUGGUGAGGU
rnacentral:lncRNA from 1 species